ACUUCUUGAACUGUUUUUUAAUAGAUCCAACAAGCAAGGAAGCUGAGUUCAAAGAUUAAUUUCUCCAACAAAUUCUCCCUCUUGAACGAAGAACUUCCUUGAUAACCUUCACUUCAGGUAGAGGCAGAGGUAAGAGCAACGGCAAGCUGGCGAGCGACCAGAAAUGACCGUGGCGAGCCAUAGGGAUCUUUUGCUUCCGCUUUAUGUCAUAGUUCAGAUUUUAAUGUUUGCAUUUUAUUUCAUUAUUUAUUUGUUAUUUUAUUUCUUUAAAAUUAGAUACGGCCCGAGUUAGGAUUUUAUUUUUAUACUUAUCUCUAAUCACAUUUGUUUAUGCUUUUAAAUGAAAAAUUUGAGGUUUUGUUUUA